rnacentral:rRNA from 1 species
UACGUAGGGGGCGAGCGUUGUCCGAAGUUACUGGGCGUAAAGCGCGCGUAGGCGGGGAAUUAAGUGAGAGGUGAAAGGCUGGGGCUCAACCUCAUGCAGUGCCUCUCAUACUGGUUCUCUUGAGGGCGGUAGGGAGAAGUGGAAUGGCUGGUGUAGCGGUGAAAUGCGCAGAUAUCAGGAGGAACACCUAUUGCGAAGGCAGCUCGCUGGGACGUAACUGACGCUGAGACGCGAAAGCGUGGGGAGCAAACAGG